rnacentral:rRNA from 1 species
CCUACGGGAGGCAGCAGUGAGGAAUAUUGGUCAAUGGACGAGAGUCUGAACCAGCCAAGUAGCGUGAAGGAUGACUGCCCUAUGGGUUGUAAACUUCUUUUAUAUGGGAAUAAAAUGUUCCACGUGUGGGAUUUUGUAUGUACCAUAUGAAUAAGGAUCGGCUAACUCCGUGCCAGCAGCCGCGGUAAUACGGAGGAUCCGAGCGUUAUCCGGAUUGAUUGGGUUUAAAGGGAGCGUAGGGGGAUUGUUAAGUCAGUUGUGAAAGUUUGCGGCUCAACCGUAAAAUUGCAGUUGAAACUGGCAGUCUUGAGUACAGUAGAGGUGAGUGGAAUUCGUGGUGUAGCGGUGAAAUGCUUAGAUAUCACGAAGAACUCCGAUGGCGAAGGCAGCUCACUGGACUGCAACUGACGCUGAGGCUCGAAAGUGUGGGUAUCAAACAGGAUUAGAUACCCCUGUAGUC